rnacentral:rRNA from 1 species
AGAGUUUGAUCAUGGCUUAGAUUGAACGCUGGCGGCAGGCCUAACACAUGCAAGUCGAACGGUAACAGGAAGAAGCUUGCUUCUUUGCUGACGAGUGGCGGACGGGUGAGUAAUGUCUGGGAAACUGCCUGAUGGAGGGGGAUAACUACUGGAAACGGUAGCUAAUACCGCAUAACGUCGCAAGACCAAAGAGGGGGACCUUCGGGCCUCUUGCCAUCGGAUGUGCCCAGAUGGGAUUAGCUAGUAGGUGGGGUAACGGCUCACCUAGGCGACGAUCCCUAGCUGGUCUGAGAGGAUGACCAGCCACACUGGAACUGAGACACGGUCCAGACUCCUACGGGAGGUAGCAGUGGGGAAUAUUGCACAAUGGGCGCAAGCCUGAUGCAGCCAUGCCGCGUGUAUGAAGAAGGCCUUCGGGUUGUAAAGUACUUUCAGCGGGGAGGAAGGGAGUAAAGUUAAUACCUUUGCUCAUUGACGUUACCCGCAGAAGAAGCACCGGCUAACUCCGUGCCAGCAGCCGCGGUAAUACGGAGGGUGCAAGCGUUAAUCGGAAUUACUGGGCGUAAAGCGCACGCAGGCGGUUUGUUAAGUCAGAUGUGAAAUCCCCGGGCUCAACCUGGGAACUGCAUCUGAUACUGGCAAGCUUGAGUCUCGUAGAGGGGGGUAGAAUUCCAGGUGUAGCGGUGAAAUGCGUAGAGAUCUGGAGGAAUACCGGUGGCGAAGGCGGCCCCCUGGACGAAGACUGACGCUCAGGUGCGAAAGCGUGGGGAGCAAACAGGAUUAGAUACCCUGGUAGUCCACGCCGUAAACGAUGUCGACUUGGAGGUUGUGCCCUUGAGGCGUGGCUUCCGGAGCUAACGCGUUAAGUCGACCGCCUGGGGAGUACGGCCGCAAGGUUAAAACUCAAAUGAAUUGACGGGGGCCCGCACAAGCGGUGGAGCAUGUGGUUUAAUUCGAUGCAACGCGAAGAACCUUACCUGGUCUUGACAUCCACAGAACUUUCCAGAGAUGGAUUGGUGCCUUCGGGAACUGUGAGACAGGUGCUGCAUGGCUGUCGUCAGCUCGUGUUGUGAAAUGUUGGGUUAAGUCCCGCAACGAGCGCAACCCUUAUCUUUUGUUGCCAGCGGUCCGGCCGGGAACUCAAAGGAGACUGCCAGUGAUAAACUGGAGGAAGGUGGGUAUGACGUCAAGUCAUCAUGGCCCUUACGACCAGGGCUACACACGUGCUACAAUGGCGCAUACAAAGAGAAGCGACCUCGCGAGAGCAAGCGGACCUCAUAAAGUGCGUCGUAGUCCGGAUUGGAGUCUGCAACUCGACUCCAUGAAGUCGGAAUCGCUAGUAAUCGUGGAUCAGAAUGCCACGGUGAAUACGUUCCCGGGCCUUGUACACACCGCCCGUCACACCAUGGGAGUGGGUCGCAAAAGAAGUAGGUAGCUUAACCUUCGGGAGGGCGCUUACCACUUUGUGAUUCAUGACUGGGGUGAAGUCGUAACAAGGUAACCGUAGGGGAACCUGCGGUUG